rnacentral:rRNA from 1 species
GAUCGGAGGCUGCAACUCGACUCCGUGAAGGCGGAAUCGCUAGUAAUCGCAGGUCAGCAUACUGCGGUGAAUACGUUCCCGGGCCUUGUACACACCGCCCGUCACACCAUGGGAGUUGGCCACGCCCGAAGUCGUUACUCCAACCGCAAGGAGGAGGACGCCGAAGGCAGGGCUGGUGACUGGGGUGGAGUCGUAACAAGGUACCGUA